GAUGAACGCUGGCGGCGUGCCUAAUACAUGCAAGUCGAGCGAACAGACGAUGAGCGUGCUCCUCUGACGUUGGCGGGGGACGGAUGAGUAACACAUGCAUAACCUACCUAUAAGACUGGGAUAACAACGUGGGGCCGGUGCCGAUACUGGAUCAUAUAUUCAACGGCUUGGUUCAAUAGUUAAAGAGGGUUUUGCUGUCACUUAUAGAUGGAUCCGUGAUGCAUUAGCUAGUUGGUAAGGUAACGGCCUACCAAGGCGACGAUGCGUAGCCGACCUGAGAGGGUGAUCAGCCACACUGGAACUGAGACACGGUACAGACUCCUACGGGAGGCAGCAGUAGGGAAUCUUGGGCAAUGGGCGAAAGCCUGACGGAGCAACGCCGCGUGGGUGAAGAAGGUCUUCGGGUCGUAAAACUCUGUUAUUGGGGAAGAACAAAUGCGUAAGUAACUAUGCAUGUCUUGACGGUACCUAAACAGAAAGCCACGGCUAACUACGUG
rnacentral:rRNA from 1 species